rnacentral:rRNA from 1 species
GUCGAGCGGUAGAGAGGUGCUUGCACCUCUUGAGAGCGGCGGACGGGUGAGUAAAGCCUAGGAAUCUGCCUGGUAGUGGGGGAUAACGCUCGGAAACGGACGCUAAUACCGCAUACGUCCUACGGGAGAAAGCAGGGGACCUUCGGGCCUUGCGCUAUCAGAUGAGCCUAGGUCGGAUUAGCUAGUUGGUGAGGUAAUGGCUCACCAAGGCGACGAUCCGUAACUGGUCUGAGAGGAUGAUCAGUCACACUGGAACUGAGACACGGUCCAGACUCCUACGGGAGGCAGCAGUGGGGAAUAUUGGACAAUGGGCGAAAGCCUGAUCCAGCCAUGCCGCGUGUGUGAAGAAGGUCUUCGGAUUGUAAAGCACUUUAAGUUGGGAGGAAGGGCAUUAACCUAAUACGUUAGUGUUUUGACGUUACCGACAGAAUAAGCACCGGCUAACUCUGUGCCAGCAGCCGCGGUAAUACAGAGGGUGCAAGCGUUAAUCGGAAUUACUGGGCGUAAAGCGCGCGUAGGUGGUUCGUUAAGUUGGAUGUGAAAUCCCCGGGCUCAACCUGGGAACUGCAUUCAAAACUGUCGAGCUAGAGUAUGGUAGAGGGUGGUGGAAUUUCCUGUGUAGCGGUGAAAUGCGUAGAUAUAGGAAGGAACACCAGUGGCGAAGGCGACCACCUGGACUGAUACUGACACUGAGGUGCGAAAGCGUGGGGAGCAAACA